CAAGGAAUAGUUUAAACUAAAAUAUUAAUUUUGGAGAUUAAAGAUAAUAUAAUUAUUUUCCUUGA
rnacentral:tRNA from 1 species